UUUCGUGAUAUUUAAAAUAUUAAGUAAAGAUUUGAUAUCAUUCUCAUUUGUCUGGUUGUUCUCUGUGCAAUGGGUCAAUCCAUGCCAGUGUUGGCUCCCUCGUAAGGCCCAACAAUGGUAUCAUAGCUUAGAUUGACUCUGUGGAGAAGCAGAAUUGGUUUAUGGUGGUAGAUCUCAUGUGCAGAGAGUCUCGUACUUGAGGGAGAAAUGUUAAUGUGUCAAGUGCGAGUUAAAGUCACAUUGGAUGUAAGAGUAGAUGUUGAGUAACAUAUAAGUGUUAUGAUCCAUAUACC
rnacentral:lncRNA from 1 species